rnacentral:rRNA from 1 species
GAUGAACGCUGGCGGCGUGCCUAAUACAUGCAAGUCGAGCGAAUGGAUUAAGAGCUUGCUCUUAUGAAGUUAGCGGCGGACGGGUGAGUAACACGUGGGUAACCUGCCCAUAAGACUGGGAUAACUCCGGGAAACCGGGGCUAAUACCGGAUAACAUUUUGAACCGCAUGGUUCGAAAUUGAAAGGCGGCUUCGGCUGUCACUUAUGGAUGGACCCGCGUCGCAUGAGCUGGUUGGUGAGGUAACGGCUGACCAAGGGAACGAUGCGUAGCCGACCUGAGAGGGUGAUCGGCCACACUGGGACUGAGAAACGGCCCAGACUCCUACGGGAGGCAGCAGUAGGGAAUCUUCCGCAAUGGACGAAAGUCUGACGGAGCAACGCCGCGUGAGUGAUGAAGGCUUUCGGGUCGUAAAACUCUGUUGUUAGGGAAGAACAAGUGCUAGUUGAAUAAGCUGACACCUUGACGGUACCUAACCAGAAAGCCACGGCUAACUACGUGCCAGCCGCCGCAGUAA